rfam:Triticum aestivum genome assembly, contig: Triticum_aestivum_CS42_TGACv1_scaffold_158603_2DL
ACACUACUCCCUCCGUUCGGAAUUACUUGUCGUAGAAAUGGAUGUAUCUAUACAUUUUUUUAGUUCUAGAUACAUCCAUUUCUGCGACAAGUAAUUCGGGAUGGAGGGAGUAAAUG